rnacentral:misc_RNA from 1 species
GAUGAAGAACGUAGCGAAAUGCGAUACGUAAUGUGAAUUGCAGAAUUCCGUGAAUCAUCGAAUCUUUGAACGCACAUUGCGCCCGCCAGCAUUCUGGCGGGCAUGCCUGUUCGAGCGUCAUUUCAACCCUCGACGUCCCCUGGGACGUCGGCCUUGGGGACCGGCAGCACCCCGCCGGCCCUGAAAUGGAGUGGCGGCCCGUCCGCGGCGACCUCUGCGCAGUACAACCACUCGCACCGGGAACCCGACGCGGCCCGCCGUGAAACCCCCAACCUCUGAACGUUGACCUCGGAUCAGGUAGGACUACCCGCUGAACUUAAGCAUAUCAUAAGCGGAGGA